rnacentral:rRNA from 1 species
UACGUAGGGUGCAAGCGUUGUCCGGAAUUAUUGGGCGUAAAGAGCUCGUAGGCGGUUUGUCGCGUCUGCUGUGAAAGACCGGGGCUCAACUCCGGUUCUGCAGUGGGUACGGGCAGACUAGAGUGCAGUAGGGGAGACUGGAAUUCCUGGUGUAGCGGUGAAAUGCGCAGAUAUCAGGAGGAACACCGGUGGCGAAGGCGGCGAUCUGGGUAGAUACUGACGCUGAGGUGCGAAAGCGUGGGGAUCAAACAGG